rnacentral:rRNA from 1 species
UACGAACCGUACAAACGUUAUUCGGAAUCACUGGGCUUAAAGGGUGCGUAGGCGGCCAUGUAAGUGAGGUGUGAAAUCCCUCGGCUCAACCGAGGAACUGCGCUUCAUACUGCAUGGCUUGAGGGAGACAGGGGUAAGCGGAACUGAUGGUGGAGCGGUGAAAUGCGUUGAUAUCAUCAGGAACACCGGUGGCGAAAGCGGCUUACUGGGUCUGCUUCUGACGCUGAGGUACGAAAGCUAGGUGAGCGAACGG